rnacentral:rRNA from 1 species
UACGGGGGGGGCAAGCGUUGUUCGGAAUUACUGGGCGUAAAGGGCGCGUAGGCGGCCGAUCAAGUCGGGGGUGAAAGCCUGUGGCUCAACCACAGAAUGGCCUUCGAUACUGGUUGGCUCGAGACCGGAAGAGGUGAGUGGAACUGCGAGUGUAGAGGUGAAAUUCGUAGAUAUUCGCAAGAACACCAGUGGCGAAGGCGGCUCACUGGUCCGGUUCUGACGCUGAGGCGCGAAAGCGUGGGGAGCAAACAGG